GCCUGUUGCACAAAAGUAGAAUUAAGACAUCCAGGCUAAAUGACUGAGCUGAGCUCAAUGAAGCCAAAACAAGUGCGUCCACGCUUAAUUGGUUGCACAAAGACCAAGCCAGGAUGAUCAGACACGGAUUCAUCAAGCCAGGUGAAACCAAUCCUGGAUAGGUGCGCGCUCACGGCUCACUCAACUAGACCCCGCCACCGAUCACAGAUUCACCGAUUCACCAUGGCAACUAGCGGCGUUCUUUUCCCCGUCAGAGGCACAAAUCCAUACGAGGAGGUAAAAGACAUAAUUAAAAAAGAAAGGCAACACCGCCACAGUGGUAAAGCAGAGAGAAAAAGCGUGGCAAAGUAUUGCAGACCGCCUGAAUGCGUCAUUUUGCUCAUCAAGAAAAUGCAUCUUAAUUCAAGAAUUUUUGAUAUUUUUACUGAAAACAAGACAACAAAGUAAUUCAUUUUUUGCAGUGUGACUCCAUUGAAUGUUCUUGUGUGUUAAAGAAAGUCUCUCUUUUUGUGUGUGGUGUUGUGUAAUGUAGAUUAAAUAUGACCGGGCCAAAACGGACAUGGCAGCAGGUCAAAAUCAAUAUCUGCAGAAUGCAGUGAAAAAGAAUACCGAGAGACAAGGCACGGGUGG